GAUGAACGCUGGCGGCGUGCCUAAUACAUGCAAGUCGAGCGAACGGACGAGAAGCUUGCUUCUCUGAUGUUAGCGGCGGACGGGUGAGUAACACGUGGAUAACCUACCUAUAAGACUGGGAUAACUUCGUGAAACCGGAGCUAAUACCGGAUGAUAUUUUGAACCGCAUGGUUCAAAAGUGAAAGACGGUCUUGCUGUCACUUAUAGAUGGAUCCGCGCUGCAUUAGCUAGUUGGUAAGGUAACGGCUUACCAAGGCAACGAUGCAUAGCCGACCUGAGAGGGGGAUCGGCCACACUGGAACUGAGACACGGUCCAGACUCCGACGGGAGGCAGCAGUAGGGAAUCUUCCGCAAUGGGCGAAAGCCUGAAGGAGCAACGCCGCGUGAGUGAUGAAGGUCUUCGGAUCGUAAAACUCUGUUAUUAGGGAAGAACAUAUGUGUAAGUAACUGUGCACAUCGUGACGGUACCUAAUCAGAAAGCCACGGCUAACUACGUG
rnacentral:rRNA from 1 species